GCUGGGCAUAGUGGCUUAUGCCUGUAAUCCCAGCUACUCGGGAGGCUGAGGCAGGAGAAUCGCUUGAACCCAGGAAGCAGAGGUUGCAGUGAGUGGAGAUUGCGCCACUGCACUCCAGCCUGGGUGACAAAGCGAGACUCUGUCUCCA
rnacentral:sRNA from 1 species